rnacentral:misc_RNA from 1 species
UUUCCGUAGGUGAACCUGCGGAAGGAUCAUUACUGAGUGAGGGCCCCUCGGGGUCCAACCUCCCACCCGUGUUUAACGAACCUUGUUGCUUCGGCGGGCCCGCCUCACGGCCGCCGGGGGGCAUCUGCCCCCGGGCCCGCGCCCGCCGAAGCCACCUGUGAACGCUGUCUGAAGUAUGCAGUCUGAGACAAUUAUUAAAUUAAUUAAAACUUUCAACAACGGAUCUCUUGGUUCCGGCAUCGAUGAAGAGCGCAGC